rnacentral:lncRNA from 1 species
CUGCCUAAAUGAUCAUAAUCUCUCUUCUCUCUUCUCCCUUUCCUCUCUUCACUCCGUCGCACAAGUCUGAGUAGUGAAGGACCUCCCAAUAUCAAUUUUCUCAGCCAUUCCGUAUAUGUUUCAAGUAUAACCAAGAUCAAUAUUUUCCUCACAACCGCUGUCUUCUCCUCCAUGUUCUUAUUAAUUAGUUUAUCCAAAUGAUGGAGAAGCUUAAGUUGAGAGAAAAGUGAAAUCAUUUGAUCCUCUUUUGUAAAGAAAAAAAAAAGCUGAAGUUGAGAGAGGAGAACUACAAAUGACGAGCAUGAAACUGUCAAAACAUAUUGGGGAAUUUCUAGAUUUUAAUUAAACGCUCAGAUUUGGAAUUAUUGUUUAUUGAUUAUUAAGAUAUGUUGUUUGUAUAAUUGUAUUAGAUUUUUCUUUUUAUGGAAAAAUAAAUGAGAGGUCCUGACCC